CUAAGUUUGAUGGCGACCGGCGCACGGGUGAGUAACACGUAUCCAACCUGCCUCAUACUCGGGGAUAGCCUUUCGAAAGAAAGAUUAAUACCCGAUGUUAUAGUCCUACCGCAUGAUGGGAUUAUUAAAGAAUUUCGGUAUGGGAUGGGGAUGCGUUCCAUUAGUUAGUUGGCGGGGUAACGGCCCACCAAGACAACGAUGGAUAGGGGUUCUGAGAGGAAGGUCCCCCACAUUGGAACUGAGACACGGUCCAAACUCCUACGGGAGGCAGCAG
rnacentral:rRNA from 1 species